AUAUAUAACAAAUCAAAAUAUUCGUAGUUCUGAUGAUAGAGAUGUAUAAU
rnacentral:guide_RNA from 1 species